rnacentral:lncRNA from 1 species
GAAGAGGUCGAGGACUCACACAAAGGGAAGGGAGAGAAGCCACCACCAAAGCACAAGCCACCACAUGGACAUCUUUUGGCCGAGGAAGAAGUUGAGGACUCACACAAGGGAAAGGGAGAGAAGCCACCACCAAAACACAAGCCUCCGCAUGGACAUCUUUUAGCUGAAGAAAAAGUUGAGGACUCACACAAGGGAAAAGGAGAGAAGCCACCACCAAAACACAAGCCCCCGAAUGGACAUCUUUUAGCUGAAGAAGAAGUUGAUGACUCACACAAAGGAAAGGGAGAGAAGCCACCACCAAAGCACAAGCCACCACAUGGACAUCUUUUGGCCGAGGAAGAGGUCGAGGACUCAUACAAAGGAAAGGGAGAGAAACCACCACCAAAACACAAACCUCCACAUGGACAUCUUUUAGCCGAGGAAGAAGUUGAGGACUCACACAAGGGAAAGGGAGAGAAACCACCACCAAAACACAAGCCCCCACAUGGACAUCUUUUAGCCGAGGAAGAAGUUGAUGACUCGCACAAGGGAAAGGGAGAAAAGCCACCACCAAAACACAAGCCACCUCACGGGCACUUAUUAGUUGAAGAGGUUGAAGACUCACACAAGGGGAAAGGAGAAAAACCACCGCCAAAGCACAAACCACCUCAUGGACACCUUUUAGCUGAAGAGGCCAACGACUCUCACAAAGGAAAGGGAGAGAAGCCACCAUGCAAGUCUCCUCACAAACCCCCAUCAGCCAACUAAGUGCCUUACGCUAAUUUCGCUAGAUGCUUAAAAAUAAGAAACAGAAGUAGUUUACUCUUCUGUUGGUUUCUGUAUCUGCAUUUUUCACUGAAUUAGUAUUUGUACUUUGGCUUGUAUUAUAUGAGUACUACCCUCUAGUUGGCUGUUUUAUGUAGAUUAUGGUUUUAUGUUCUAGUGCUGCGCGUAUUAUUUCAGUUGACUUAACUUUUAUUUGCAAAAUAUACAGCAAGACAUGCACACAAUCCUAGUACGUAGUUUUGCCACAUGCAUAUAUUUGGUGGUAGGAUAUUGUCAACGACAACAACGUUUAAUUACUUUAACUUAAACACGUGCUGAUGAUUUUUUUUUUUGUAAAAGCCCUUUAUUAGUAAACUAGUAUUACUCUGACAUCAACAGAUAUACCAUAGGUUUUGUCUAAAACUUGAAGGUUUCUGUAGUUUAAUUUGGUAAGUAAAAUUUUUUGUGUGUAGCACAUAAUGAAUAUGUUACUUACAUGUGUAGAUUUAUAUUUUACAUUUUAUUUUAAUAUUAGAUAAUUAAUAUAUAUAUAUUUAAUUAUUUAAAUUUAUAUAUAUUACUAAUUUAUUAAUUUAGUCUAUAUAUAUAUAUGAUAUACAUUUAAGUUAAAUUAGGUAAGAAGUUAUUAAGUACUUCCAAAUUAAUAUGAAAUAAUUCUCUAAAGGAAAUGAAUCAACUCUUGGAAAAUGUCGGGAGAAAAGAUUUCAAAUUUCUGCAUGUCUCUGUUUCUGCUCAGUGGAUGUCUCUGUUUCUGCUUGCUGCCUAUGUUGCAAUAUUUAUUUGGCUUUUUAUUCCUGGUAAAUUUCUUAUUUUCCUCUUAAUUUUGACUAGGCCGGCUGAUUCGGGAGUAAGAUUUAAGUAGUUUUAUAUUUAAUGAAAAGUAGAAUUCUGAAGAAGCGAAAAUAAAUAUAAAAAGGGAUAAUUGGUGUUCUGAGUGAAUCAUUAUUAAACACAAAAUUAGUAUUACAAACAAAAUUGCAAUUAUCAAAAUGACAGUAUGCUCCACAGAUAGAUGAUUAUCUAAUCAGUACUUAUAAUUAGCCUAAAUUUAAUAGGAAUAGUACAGAAUUAAACUUUCUUUUUUAAAAAAAGGGUCAUUAAACUGAAUCAUAAGAACAGGAUAGAGAGUAUUUGUAAUCAAAGAAACAUAGAGAGAAUUCAAAGUAAUGCCCCCAGAUGAUAGCCCUGAACAAUAAAUAUUACUUAGAAAAACAAACUGCCAAGAGAAAUUAGUCAAUAAAAUUUAGAUUGAAUCACGAUAUUUAUAAACGAGUAGAUAAAUAUAUCUUUUUUAUUAAAAAAUAAUAUUGCAUAAUUCAUCUUAAUUUAUUUCAACUUUUACUCAUAAAAUGUGAUAUAUAAUAUAUUUAUAAAAUUAUUAAUAUUUUGAUAUUACUCUCUUAAUUAAUAAAUAAUUCCAUAAAAACAUCAUACACCAUAUUAUAUAAACAAUAGUUGGGACAAAUCAAAAUGAAAUGUUUAGCAUUUUUCUAGUUAAAACCUAUUCUACAAUUCAAACCAAAAAUAGCAGUCCAAGAAAGCAUAUCUUUCACUAAUAAUCCAAACAAAUCGCUAAUUCUAAACAACCACGUUUUGGUUAAAAGAUUAUUAAUUUAGUUUGUCUAAUAAUUCGAUCCUGAAUUUGCUGAGCCGCAGUAGGAUCUCGCUCGUAUAUACAAAUCCUGAAGAAGAUCACUAUAAAUUUCUGAUCCAAUAAUGAAACUUUGAAGUCCAUAAGUAGGUUUAGGAGAAAUUUAAAGGCAGAUUCAGUUUUAAUAUUAAAUUAUAAAUAAUAUCAAUUAUACAGUAAUAUAUAACAUUAUUUACUGAUUAUUACACUUAUAUCAGUUGAAUUCUAGCCAUAAAUAAUGAAUGGUAUGGAUAGUAGUACUUAAAAAGAAUAAUCUCCAUAUAUAUAUAAAUGCAUGGAAUUUAAUAACUUUCACACCUAUGAAAUUAUCCCACCUAAAACAGAAAACCUUAGUAUUAAAUUGAGAAUAAUGCAGAAAUAUAAAUAUUUGAAAUAAUUACAAAUAAUGCAGAAAUACAAGGACCGCAGGAAAACAGAGGCCACACACUCUUGGCUGGAAUGAUUUUCCUAUUUUUGCAUGCUCACCCAUUACUCUACUCUAUCGCAUUAUUAUUGUUCAAAACUUCACAACUUAACAAAUAUACUUCCAACACAUCACAUGCGUGACCCAUUAAUUAUUACAUGUGAACGUAAAAUGAGAAGUGGUGACAACAGCAGUGAUGUCACACUUUCUGAUAUUACUACAAUUCUUGGAUGACUUACCUUAAUUCCUUUCUGGUGCAUGUUGCAGUAAUUUAUUAGAAAUACAUAAGACCUUUUUUUUCUUCCUAUCUCUUUGUUUCAUUGUAGAAUAGUCCGAGACAACGAUAAUAUCUUACACUUAAUUUGUCUGUAAAUAUAUAUACACUUGACUUUACAUGCUAUAGUAUUAUUAACUAGUCACCUAGACAGAUUUGAAGUAGAUAAUAUUUAUCGAUAAAUUACUUUCUAGAUUUCUAUUUUAUGGUUACAUACAUCAAAAUUUCUGCAAAACAAGUGGAGAAUAGCCUAAUUUGGGGAUUCAAAGAAACUUUGAUGGCUUCUUUUUCUACUCGAAAUUAUACUAAAAAUAAUUCAUAAACAUGAAUGAUCCAAGGGUGGAGAGCAAGACUCUUAGCCAGUUUGUCAAAAAUUUUAACUCGAUGGGACCCAAUAGAUCUAAUUGGUUCGUAAGAGAGCCAAAUGUAUUCAACUUCACUACAUAGUGUACUAAUCUAUAGUAAAGGACAGGUGCAGUAUGACAUGGGUGGUGACGACAUAGUCCCACCGUCCACCCAUGCAAUAUUAUAAAAGGCAGAGCAAAGCUUCAAGUUUUGCACCAUCAACUGAACCCCAAAUAUGUCUUCUAAAUACUUGCUAGUGUUGUUCCUCCUCGGAGCAUUAGUGCUUCUCUUCACAACCCCCUCAUAUGCUGAUCAUCAUGAGCCCCUUAGAAAUAAAGGAGAGAAACCACCUCCAAAACAUAAACCACCACAUGUUCAUCUUCUAGCUGAAAAUAUAGAAGAUUUUCAUGGACAUGCAAAAGGUAAAAGAGACAAGCCACCACCUAAACAUAAACCACCACAUGGACAUCUUUUAGCUGAGGAAGUAGAUGAUUAUUCUACAUCUCCGGGAUGGAAACUACAUAAUCCUCCAUCAGAGCAUAAACCACCGCAUAAGCCUCCACAUGAGCAAAAGCCACUAAAUAGACGUCUUUUACAAGUAGAUAUUGAGGAUGCACAUAAAGAAAAGGGAGAGAAGCCACCACAUGGACAUCUUUUGGCCGAGGAAGUUAUGGAGGACUCGCCUAAGAAAAAGGGAGAGAAGCCACCACCAAAGCACAAGCCACCACAUGGACAUCUUUUGGCCGAGGAAGAGGUCGAGGACUCACACAAAGGGAAGGGAGAGAAGCCACCACCAAAGCACAAGCCACCACAUGGACAUCUUUUGGCCGAGGAAGAAGUUGAGGACUCACACAAGGGAAAGGGAGAGAAGCCACCACCAAAACACAAGCCCCCGCAUGGACAUCUUUUAGCUGAAGAAAAAGUUGAGGACUCACACAAGGGAAAAGGAGAGAAGCCACCACCAAAACACAAGCCCCCGCAUGGACACCUUUUAGCUGAAGAAGAAGUUGAUGAUUCGCACAAGGGAGAGGGAGAAAAGCCACCACCAAAACACAAGCCACCUCACGGGCACUUAUUAGUUGAAGAGGUUGAAGACUCACACAAGGGGAAAGGAGAAAAACCACCGCCCAAGCACAAACCACCUCAUGGACACCUUUUAACUGAAGAGAUCAACGACUCUUACAAAGGAAAGGGAGAGAAGCCACCUCACAAGCCUCCCCACAAACCCCCAUCAGCCGACUAAGUACCUUAGGCUAAUUUCGCUAAAUGCUUAGAAAUAAGAAACAGAAGUCUACUCUUCUGUUGGUUUCUGUAUCUGCAUUUUCACUGAAUUAGUAUUUGUACUUUGGCUUGUAUUAUAUGAAUACUACCCUCUAGUUGGCUGUUUUAUGUAGAUUAUGGUUUUAUGUUCUAGUGCUGUGUGUAUUAUUUCAGUUGAUUUAACUUUUAUUUGCAAACUAUACAGCAAUACAUGCACUUACUCCUAGUACGUAGUUCUGCCACAUGCAUAUAUUUGGUGGUAGGAUAUUGCCAACGACAACAACGUUUAAUUACUUUAACUUAAAUCAAAUAUGAAAUGAUUCUCUUAAUUAAAACUAAAUUUUUUUUAUACCCUAAUUUAACCCUUAUUUAUUAAUUAUAUUUAUUAAAUCUCUUAUUAGUUAAAGUAUAUAUAAUAAAACUAGGUAAGAAUGUGUGAGAUUUCAAAUUUCUUCAUAUCUGUCACUGGUUAUUUCAUGUCUCUGUUUCUGCUUGCUGCCUAUGUUGCAACAUUCAUUUGGCUUCUUAUUCCUAGUCAAUUACUUAUUUGCCUCUCGAUUUUGACUAGGUCGAUAGUAAGCUUAAAGUUUAAUUUCAAACAGUUUCAUAUUUAAAGAAAAGUAGUAUUUUGAAGAAGCGGAAAUAAACACAAAAAAAAGAUAGUUGGUGCAAUGAGUAAAUCAUUUUCAAAUAUAAAAUUAUUAUUACAAGCAAAAUUGGAAUUAUUAGAAUGACAGUAUGCUCCAAAGAUAAGAGUAUAAUAUGAAUAGUACAAAAUUAGCCUUUUUCUUUAAACAAAAUAAUUCAGUAAACUGAUCAUAAGAACGUAAUAAAGAGUAAAAUUCUAUCCUACAUUUGUAUUUCAAAAGUAAAAAAUAUUAAUUUUUAAAUACAUUUGGUUCUCAGUGAUUGACAAGAUAAAAUCUUAUUUAACUUUCUCCUUAUAGAGUAGGAAUUCCAGAUACAUAUUAUCUUACCAAGGGUUUGAUAAUGACAUUUUAAUUACAGCACCACUAUAGACAAGUAGCCAUUGUUAAUGGAGGUUAUCAUUCCAAUUUCCCUCUUGUGAAGUUAUUAAUUUGUGGAGAUUAUAAAGGACUCCAAUCUUUAACCCUUCCAAUGAGUUAAAAAAAUAUAAAAUAUUUCUUAUCAAAUUGCACCAUCAACAACUCAUACGAAUGCCACCUUUAUGGCCGCAAAACAGAGUGCUUGAUAACCAAAUUUAAGAUAAAUCUCAAUUCGACGGUAAGUGCAUCACUUAGAUUUGUUACAUCCUAAUAAUAUAUACUAAAUUUAUAAAUAAUUAAUAUAUAUUUUAUUAAUUUAAAUAAUAAAAUAUAUAAAUUAUAUAUAUAUCAACUGCCAGUGGUACCUUUUUUAAACUAAAGGAAGCUAUUAGUGGAGACAAGCUUUAGAAGUGAACGCCACUCAUCUGCUAAACUACAAAAGAUGCCACCACACCUCUGACGUCAAAUGAUAUGCAUGUGCUCUAGUCACUGUUGAAACUAAGAAAUUAUUAACCGUGAGCCUAAUAUCCAAAGAACCUUUGGAUCCAAUCAAUUGAUUUUAGAUAAACUAUGGUGAAAAUAUAUCAUUUUUCGUUACUCUUCAGCUUUCCACCAAAUUCAGCCCCCCAAAAGUUCAAGAAAAAAAAUUAAUACCAAGGAUAAUAUAAAUUCCAAGAGUUUAGGCGAAUAAUUUUUUUUCUGAUCAGCAUUUUGCAAUUAGUUGAAAAUUGGAACUUGCCAGAAGCUGUGCAGCUCAAUUUUAUCAGGCACAUACGAAAACACACUUCCUAUUUCUCUGAAAGUUUGUCUUGCAGCAGUUUAAGAUGAACAAAAGCAAGUUGGUUUUCUGCUUGUAAUUUACAACUCAAUUAGAUUAUAGAAGAAAUUAAAACAGUAAUAUGUAAUUCUUUGGGGCAUAACCUUUAAUACUACUGAUAAGUAUAACGGAUACGUUCCUAAAUUAUAUUGUACUAAAUUUACAACCGCAAGGAGAUCCAAGUUGGAGAGUUAAUAAUCACACUAGGUUAGGAGAAAGAGCAAUAACUUGGCCAUAUUGUCAAAGUUUUCAACUAGUUGGAACCCGGUGGAUCUUCUUCUCUAAACCGGUGGAUCUUCUUCUCUAACAUGAAAUUUUAAACAGCCAACUUGACUGCAUAGGGUACUAGGUUAGUAAAGACAAGAAAGUAUGACAUGAACAAAAACCACUUAAUAGACGUCUUUUACAAGUAGAUAUUGAGGAUGCACAUAAAGGAAAGGGAGAGAAGCCACCGCAUGGACAUCUUUUGGCCGAGGAAGUUAUGGAGGACUCGUAUAAGAACAAGAGAGAGAAGCCACCACAUGGACAUCUUUUGGCCGAGGAAUAAGUGGAGGAUUCACGCAAAGGAAACGGAGAGAAACCACCACCAAAACACAAACCUCCACAUGGACAUCUUUUAGCUGAAGAAGAAGUUGAUAACACACACAAAGGAAAAGGAGAGAAGCCACCACCUUAUGCGCACUUUUUAGUUGAAGAGGUUGAAGACUCGCACAAGAGAAAGGGAGAAAAACCACCGCCAAAGCAUAAACCGCCUGUCACGACUCAAUCUGUAGGUCCGUAAUCGGCGCUAGUGAAUGGGUAGGCUUAAGGCCAUCAAAAUUCAUAGCAAGCCUAAUUAGCCAAAGAUCUAAAUAAACAUAUAUAUAAUUAUAUACUACUAAAACAAUCCAACAUUUCACUCACAAAUCUACAUAUAAUUAAUUUAAUCCUCCAGCUGGAUUACUAGCAAACAUCCCAUAAUUUUUUUUUACCGACAUAAUUUAAAUACAAGAUACCGGGUACAUUACUGCGGAGAGUCUAGAAUUUUAAAUAAUUUAAAAUAUAAAAAUAAGAUUUAAUUACAAUAAGUCCGAAAGAGAAGGAAAGUCGGGUUGUAAAAAAUGUCGGCGAAAAACCUAGCUGUCACCUGAAAAAUUUAGAAUUUAGACUGUCAGUCUCAGGAGUGAGUUAAAAUUAAAUAUCAUAAGUAAAACAAAAUGGUUGAUAAAAUAAUGUAGUGCAUCAUAAACUAAUAAAUAAGUGUCACAAUAUAAUUUAAAAUAAUUAAUUUUUAGCUCUUAAGGGAUGAGCACUUCAGUAGAGCCCUAACCUCAAUAUUAGCAGCCUUCGGCUCUCUUAUUACAGUAAGACUGGUGCCUAAAGAGCGAAGCUCAACCAUGGUCCUUAAAUCUAGUUUGAUCACUUGAUUUCUAAUAAAGUCAGCACCCAUAUAGGAAGGCUAGAUAAGGGACCUUUCCUUCGGCAAUCAAAUUCUCACAGCUCAGAGAGUUGUACUCGACCAGAGCAAAUCCCAAAAUAUUCUUUUAUUACCUGUCUUUGAUUAAUAUCGGUGCAUGAGCAUUCUUGAUGCAACCCAUCAGGUGACAUGUUAUACUGCUGCCUCAUCCCGAAGUUACGAUCAUAGCAUCAAUAAUAAUUAUAAAUAAUAUAAAUCAUAAGCAAACAUAAUUAUUCAAUAACAUAAUAAGAAUUAAAGUUGAGUAGUCUCGAAUAUAGCAAACAUGAAAAUUAUGUAUGAUAAUAGUAAUAAUGAUAAAAUAACAAUAAAUAUGAUAACAAUAAUAAUAAUAAUAAUAAUAAUAAUAAGAAUAAUAUCAAUAAUAACGAAAAUGAAAUUAAUAAUAAUGAUGCUAAUAAUAUUCGUAAUAAUUAUUAAUCAACUAAAAUUACUAAUAAAAAUACUAAUAAUAAUCAUAAUAAUUAUUAAUCAAUUAACAUUACAUUUAAUUUAGACAUGACAUAAAAGCAGUUGAUUAUAUACUUUAAUUCACAGUACUGCAGUGCUACGCAGUCUGCUUCUAUGCUUUGGGUGGAGCUGGUUGGACGAACGGAUUAUCUAUUUACGAGAAACAACUCAAUUAAUGAGAUAUUAUUAAUUUUUCUAGGCCUAAACUUCUAAAUUAGACUGCCUAAAAAAUUUUGACUCGGAAAUUCUACCGAAAAUUUGAUAGAACCUCCCUUAAAAUAUGAACGUUAACCCACCCCCCCCCCCCCCCCCCCAUAUAACAGGUCCAGAACCUACUAGAAAACACUUCAAAUAUUUCACAUUUAUUUAACGGGGUAGAGGCAUUAUCUUUCCGACUCCGAAAUAUAACCUAAAUCACAAUAUAAAAAUUAACAGUCCGGCAAAAUAAUAUUAUUCACGAUACAUUAUACAAAUAUUUUUUCUCGCAUUUAAUUCAAUUACUCACAGCCUCAAAUUUACAUAGCAGAAUAUUAAAUCUUUCUGUAAUUAAUCUGCAGUAAUUCUAAAAUCAAGCUACCAAUUAAUUAAAUAAUUUAAUUAAUUAAUUAUAACUAACAAUUUAUACUCCAAUUAUUUUCUAAUAAUUUCAAAAUAAAUUUUCAAGUCUAGAUAAAAUUAUACUGAGCCGAAACUCGAACUUUUGUGCGUCCGAGAAACACCAGAGUUUGAAAGCCGGUACCACCAACGAUAUCGGAUUUCGAAUCCGGAAGCACCUACGAAGCUUGAGUUGUGGGGAGUCUGAGUAUGCAAAUGUCUUCGCUUGAAACUAGUCGGAAGUCACCAGAUCGAGGCUGAAAAGUUUCGGCUCCAGCGAGACUCAUCCAUUGCAGCUGGCGGAGGAAAAACAUCAGGGAGGAGCUGGCUUUGGGUUAUCAAUGGUGGCGAGCACGAUUCCGACAUUGGACUGAUGAAAGGGCGACGGCAGGCGGCUAUUCUUACAGUGGCAGCAAGGGAGGAGCUUUCCUUCCUGCAACUUGUCAUCGGCAAUAAGAAAGAAGAAAAAGGAGGCGAUGCUGGCAAGGGAGGGGGAAGAAGAAGGAGUUUACGUUAGCUAGAAAAAGAGGACAGGCGACAGAAAGAAAGGGAGUGGAGGAGGAGGAAGAGAGGUGGCAUCACGAAAAGAGAAGAAAGAAGAGAGGGAAUUUUUUUUUUGUAUAAAAGAUGAAAAAUUACAAAUGAGUCCCCUUUCAAAAAGUUGCUACGAUGACCCCCUUGGCCCAAUUUCUUUUUGUUUAUUUAUUUAUAAAUGUUAAAUAUUGACUUAUCAAUAAUUAAUUUAAUAUAAAUUAAAAAAUUUAUCAAAUUACCCGAAUAUAAAUUAAAACAAUUAAAAUUUAAAUUUAUAGGUAUUACACCACCUCAUCGAUACCUUUUAGCUGAAGAGG